CAGAACCCAGCAGAACGAGGACAAGAAGAAGAAAUGAAGAAAUGCCGCGAUCAAGGUGCAUAAGACCUGAGACAGAAGACAAACAAAACCAGUGGUAACCAGGACAACACAAGCCUCAAGGAAGGCUGAAGAGAGCCUGUCAGUGGACUGUUCUCUGUAUUUCCAAGAGACUGAACCUCUGCCUAAUGUUUACAACUCCUAUGUACUGCCUGCAUCUUCCACUGGUUUAAAGACCAGCAUCAAUGAAACCUUGACUAGGGUGGAUAGUCUGGAGCAUGAGAUGAGGAACCUGAAGGACCCAGAACAGAGGGCAAAGAACACGGUGCGUGGUCUUCUGGAGGAUCUGAGGGGGAAGAGCUGAAAGAGAGGCUUGAUAUCUACUCAGAUCUUCCGAUAGACCUCCUGUCAAACCAGGGCCAUGAGUACACAAAAGACCAGAGGGAGUGUGCCCUCACUCUCCACCUACAUGGUCCAAAAGAUUUAUAAAUUAUCUUUUCAAAGAAGUCUUUGUCAUCUGAAAAGAACAAAUAUCUGCAUUAAGUG